rnacentral:rRNA from 1 species
GUGGGGAAUCUUGCGCAAUGGGCGAAAGCCUGACGCAGCAACGCCGCGUGGGGGAUGAAGGCUCUCGGGUUGUAAACCCCUUUCAGCAGGGACGAAUCAAGACGGUACCUGCAGAAGAAGCCCCGGCUAACUACGUGCCAGCAGCCGCGGUAACACGUAGGGGGCAAGCGUUGUCCGGAUUUAUUGGGCGUAAAGAGCUCGUAGGUGGCUGAGUAAGUCGGAUGUCAAAUCCCCAGGCUCAACCUGGGAUCCCAUCCGAUACUGCUCUGGCUAGAGUCCGGUAGGGGAGCGUGGAAUUCCUGGUGUAGCGGUGAAAUGCGCAGAUAUCAGGAGGAACACCAGCGGCGAAGGCGGCGCUCUGGACCAGCACUGACACUGAGGCACGAAAGCGUGGGGAGCAAACAGGAUUAGAUACCCCUGUAGUCC